rnacentral:rRNA from 1 species
AAAACAAAACAUAUAUAUAUUUGUAAAAAUAUUGAAAAUGAAUUUUUUGAGAAAAUUAAUUAAAUUUUUGAAAUAAUGACAAAAGUUUUGAUGGCGUUUAAAAGAUACCAUCAGAAAUAAAUGAAAAAAAAAAAUUUAUACAACCUCAACUCAUAUGGGACUACCCCCUGAAUUUAAGCAUAUUAAUGAGGGGAGGAAAAGAAACUAACAAGGAUUUUCUUAGUAGCGGCGAGCGAAAAGAAAUCAGUUCAGCACUAAGUCACUUUGUCAUAUGGCAAAAUGUGAGAUGCAGUGUAUGGAAUGUCUAUAUGACUAGUAAUGAUAAAUUAACGAUUUAAGUCCUUCUUAAAUGAGGUCAUUUACCCAUAGAGGGUGCCAGGCCCGUAUAACGUUAAUGAUUACUAGAAGAUAUUUCCAAAGAGUCGUGUUGCUUGAUAGUGCAGCACUAAGUGGGUGGUAAACUCCAUCUAAAACUAAAUAUAACCAUGAGACCGAUAGUAAACAAGUACCGUAGGAGGGAAAGUUGAAAAGAACUCUGAAUAGAGAGUUAAAUAGUACGUGAAACUGCUUAGAGGUUAAGCCCGAUGAACCUGAAUAUCCAUUAUGGAAAAUUCAACAUUAUAAUUGUAAAUAUUUAAACAUUUACGAUAAUGGUGUGCAUUUUUUCCAUAUAAGGCUAUUGUAAUCUAUUAACAUAAUAUAUAUUUAUCAAAAGAUCAUUUACCGUUAAGUUUAUACAAAUUAUUAUGCUUGCAUUUUAACAUUGUAUAAAUGGUUGAAUGAUUUGAUAAAGUGUUGAUAGAUUUAUUAUAUAUAGUGUUUAAAUUAUAUUUAUAUAAUUUUACAAUGGUAUGUUAAUCAAUGAUUUUCAUACUUUAAUUGUAUAUCACUUAUAUGAUUAACAAUGCGAAAGAUUCAGGAUACCUUCGGGACCCGUCUUGAAACACGGACCAAGGAGUCUAACAUAUGUGCAAGUAAUUGGGUCGAAACUUUAACCUAUUCUCAAACUUUAAAGGGGGUAAAACCUCACUUACUUGAUAUGAAGGUUGUGGUUAAUGAUAUAAUGUGCCCAGUGGGCCACUUUUGGUAAGCAAACUGGCGCUGUGGGAUGAACCAAACGUAAUGUUACGGUGCCCAAAUUAACAACUCAUGCAGAUACCUAAAGGCGUUGUUGCUUAAACAGCAGGACGGUGGACAUGGAAGUCGUAAUCCGCUAAGGAGUGUGUAACAACUCACCUGCCGAAGCAACUAGCCCUUAAAAUGGAUGGCGCUUAAGUUGUAUACCUAUAACAUUACCGCUAAAGUAAAUGAUUUAUAUUCAAUUUCGGUUAAUUAAUAAAUUUUAAAACUUUAGUGAGUAGGAGGGUACAAUGGUGUGCACAGAAGUGUUUGGACGUAAGCCUGCAUGGAGCCGCCAUUGGUACAGAUCUUGGUGGUAGUAGCAAAUACGAAUGAGACCUUGGAGGACUGAAGUGGAGAAGGGUUUCGUGUGAACAGUGGUUGAUCACGAGUUAGUCGGUCCUAAGUUUAAGGCGAAAGACCGAAAAUUUUCAUGUUUAUUAUGAUAAUAAAAUAAUAUUAUUAUUGUAAAUUAACGAACAUGAUUAUUUUUGAACGAAAGGGAAUACGGUUCCAAUUCCGUAACCUGUUGAGUAUCCGUUUGUUAUUAAAUAUGGGCCUUGUGCUCAUCCUGGCAACAGGAACGACCAUAAAGAAGCCGUCGAGAGGUAUCGGAAGAGUUUUCUUUUCUGUUUUAUAGUCGUACUACCAUGGAAGUCUUUCGAAGAGAGAUAUGGUAGAUGGGCUAGAAGAGCAUGACAUUUACUGUUGUGUCGAUAUUUUCUCCUCGGACCUUGGAAUUUAUGGUGGGGUCAACGCAAACUUCUCAACAGGCCGUACCGAUAUCCGCAGCUGGUACUCCAAGGUGUAAGAGUCUCUAGUCGAUAGAAUAACGUAGGUAAGGGAAGUCGGCAAUUGAUCCGUAACUUCGGAUAAGAUUGGCCUGAGAUUGAGAUAGUCGGGCUUGAUUUGAAGCAAUAUCAUGGUUUAUAUACUCAUUCUGGGUAAAUAGAGAUUCUUGUUGAAUCUUGUCCCCCCGGAUAUAGUUAUGUAGUCCUAUUGUGGAAUUUCUAGCUAAUAUUAAUUUGAGUGUUGAAUUGAUGAGUGUUGAAUUGCAAAAUUUUCAUUCUCAUUUUAAUUAUAACGAUUAUCAAUUAACAAUCAAUUCAGAACUGGCACGGACUUGGGGAAUCGAACGUCUAAUUAAAACAAAGCAUUGUAUGGCCCUAACGGGUGUUGCAUGUAGAUUUCUGCCCAGUGCUCUGAAUGUAAAGUGAAGAAAUUACAAGUAAGCGCGGGUAAACGCGGGAGUAAGUAAUAUGACUCUCUAAGGUAGCCAAAUUGCCUCGUCACCUAAUUAGUGACGCGCAUGAAUGGAUUAACGAGAUUCCCUCUGUCCCCUAUCUACUAUCUAGCGAAACCAACAGCCAAGGGAACGGGCUUGGAAUAAUUAGCGGGGAAAGAAGACCCUGUUGAGCUUUGUACUCUAGUCUGGCAUGUAAGGAGACAUAAGGGUGUAGCAUAAGUGGGGAUGUAUAAUUUCGGUUUUAACAUACAACAAUGAAAUACCACUACUCUUAUUGUUUCCUUACUUACUUGAUUAAGUGGAACGUGUAUCUAUGCUUAGCCAUUAUACGGAUAUAUUUAUAUGUCUUAUGGUAUUGGGUAUUGAUGCAAGCUUCUUGAUCAAAGUACCACGACGAGUUUGUUAUAUAAUUGUAAACAAAUUUUUAUGAAUUAAUAGCUAUUUCGGUGUUAUUAUUAUUUUUGAAUUUGGUAUUCUCCCCACACUCAGGUAUGAUCCAAUUCAAGAGGACAUGACAUUGCCCAGGGUGGUGGGAGUUUGACUGGGGCGGUACAUCUCUCCAAAUAAUAACGGAGGUGUCCCAAGGCCAGCUCAGUGCGGAAGAGAAACCACACAUAGAGAAAAGGGCAAAUGCUGCUUUAUCUCGUUGUUCAGUACACAAAGAGACACAGCAAAAGCUCGGCCUAUCGAUCCUUUUGGUUUAAAGAGUUUUUAACAAGAGUGUCAGAAAGUUAACCACAGGGAGUAACUGUUGUGGGGCGGCCAAGCGUUCAUAGCGACGAUGACUUACACUUGAGUGGUGUGGUCUUUUAGCUUUUUGACUAAAAAAUAAAAUAGCUAUAAUAAAUUUAUUUGAAACAGUUAA